rnacentral:rRNA from 1 species
UGAUGACGAGACGCUAAGGCGUUGAAGCAGUGUAUGUCAGACUUCCAAGAAAAGCUCGCAAUGUCACAAAUAAAAAUGCCUGUACCAUAACCGACACAGGUGGGUAGGUAGAGUAUACUAAGGGGCGCGAGAUAACUCUCUCUAAGGAACUCGGCAAAAUGACUCCGUAACUUCGGGAGAAGGAGUGCCUUAUUUAUAAGGUUGCAAUAACAAGAUCCAAGCAACUGUUUAUCAAAAACACAGGUCUCCGCUAAGUCGUAAGACGAUGUAUGGGGGCUGACGCCUGCCCAGUGCCAGAAGGUUAAAGAAGUUGGUUAGUGUAUGCGAAGCUGAUGACUGAAGCCCUGGUGAACGGCGGCCGUAACUAUAACGGUCCUAAGGUAGCGAAAUUCCUUGUCGGGUAAGUUCCGACCCGCACGAAAGGCGUAAUGAUUUGGAUACUGUCUCGGAGAGAGGCUCGGUGAAAUAGACUUGUCUGUGAAGAUGCGGACUACCUGCACCAGGACAGAAAGACCCUAUGAAGCUUUACUGUAACUUGAAAUUGGAAUUGGACUUUGCUUGCGCAGUAUAGGUGGGAAGCGUUGAAAAUAUUCUUGCGGGAGUAUUGGAGCUAUCAGUGAGAUACCACUCUUGUAAUGUUAGAUUUCUAACUUUGAACCAUAAUCUGGUCAAAGAACAGUUUCAGGUGGGCAGUUUGACUGGGGCGGUCGCCUCCCAAAUGGUAACGGAGGCGUACAAAGGUUUCCUCUGAACGGAUAGAAAUCGUAUCUAGAGUGUAAAGGCAUAAGGAAGCUUGACUGUGAGACCUACAAGUCGAGCAGGGACGAAAGUCGGUCUUAGUGAUCUGACGGUACUGAGUGGAAAGGCCGUCACUCAACGGAUAAAAGUUACUCUAGGAUAACAGGCUGAUCUCCCCCAAGAGUUCACAUCGACGGGGAGGUUUGGCACCUCGAUGUCGGCUCAUCGCAUCCUGGGGCGGUAGUACGUCCCAAGGGUUGGGCUGUUCGCCCAUGAAAGCGGUACGCGAGCUGGGUUCAGAACGUCGUGAGACAGUUCGGUCCAUAUCCGGUGUAGGCGCUAGAAUAUUGAGAGGAGCCUUCUUUAGUACGAGAGGACCGAGAAGGACACACCGCUGGUGUACCAGUUAUCGUGCCAACGGUAAACGCUGGGUAGCUAUGUGUGGAGUGGAUAACCGCUGAAAGCAUCUAAGUGGGAAGCCCACCUCGAGAUGAG